rnacentral:tRNA from 1 species
CCCCUGGAAGCUUGCAUCAGCAAAGAACUUUUACUUCUUAAACAGAGACCCAUACUCCCAGAGGA